rnacentral:miRNA from 1 species
UGCAUUUUUUGGUAAGACGAUGUUAACAAAAGUUGUUCGUCUCGAUGAGGACUACAACUUUGCUUAACAUCCUUUUAACAAAUUAUGCGUUUUUAAGAAGAUAACGCUGCGCAUGCGCAGAACGUAACUCCUUACGCUUGCAUUUUUUGGUAAGACGAUGUUAACAAAAGUUGUUCGUCUUGAUGAGGACUACAACUUUGCUUAAUAUCCUUUUAACAAAUUAUGCG